AGUUCGUUGUGCGGUCGCGGCCGUAUAUAAUACGGGUGAGGAAAGUCCGGGCUUCAUAGGACAGGAUGCCAGAUAACGUCUGGUGAGAGUGAUCUUGGGAAAGUGCAACAGAAAAUAACCGCCCAUAUGGGUAAGGGUGAAAAGGCAGGGUAAGAGCCUACCGCGGUCAUGGUAACAUGAACGGCUGUGUAAACCCCAUCCGAAGCAAGACCAAACAUAAGAGCGUUUACGGUGGUCCGCCUAGUUCUUGGGUAGGUCGCUUGAACCACAUGGUGACAUGUGGUCUAGAUAGAUGAUCGCAUCGGCUUUAUAGCUAGACAUAACCCGGCUUACAGACGAACUUGU
rnacentral:RNase_P_RNA from 1 species